CUGGAGAACUGAGGGGGGCUGCUCCUAGUACGAGAGGACCGGAGUGGACGCAUCACUGGUGUUCGGGUUGUCAUGCCAAUGGCACUGCCCGGUAGCUAAAUGCGGAAGAGAUAAGUGCUGAAAGCAUCUAAGCACGAAACUUGCCCCGAGAUGAGUUCUCCCUGACCCUUUAAGGGUCCUGAAGGAACGUUGAAGACGACGACGUUGAUAGGCCGGGUGUGUAAGCGCAGCGAUGCGUUGAGCUAACCGGUACUAAUGAACCGUGAGGCUUAACCUUACAACGCCGAAGCUGUU
rnacentral:rRNA from 1 species